UAUGAUGUCAUUUAGAGUUCUCUGUCUGCCCUGCGUGGUGUUACAGAGAUCCCGUAUAUACGAACCACACAUUUAGCAUUCAAGUGUUUGCAUUAAUUAAAGUACAAAGAAAUCGGAAGUUACUAUGUGCUGACUAUUUUGUUCUGAUACCAGAUCGAAUUGACGCAACUUUAACAGUAAAUUAGUCAACUUGGCCAUUAUGGAUGGAGAAUCCAUAUGAACAACCACAGAAGGGCUGCAUUCUGUGGAGAAUGUUCAAGAAUGUUCAGGUCUGUGGUAAGAAACAGAGGGGAGAUUUCCAAAGCCAUAAAUAAAGCUCAUUCUAUGG